rnacentral:rRNA from 1 species
GAGUAAUGUCUGGGAAACUGCCUGAUGGAGGGGGAUAACUACUGGAAACGGUGGCUAAUACCGCAUAACGUCGCAAGACCAAAGAGGGGGACCUUCGGGCCUCUUGCCAUCAGAUGUGCCCAGAUGGGAUUAGCUUGUUGGUGAGGUAACGGCUCACCAAGGCGACGAUCCCUAGCUGGUCUGAGAGGAUGACCAGCCACACUGGAACUGAGACACGGUCCAGACUCCUACGGGAGGCAGCAGUGGGGAAUAUUGCACAAUGGGCGCAAGCCUGAUGCAGCCAUGCCGCGUGUAUGAAGAAGGCCUUCGGGUUGUAAAGUACUUUCAGCGGGGAGGAAGGUGUUGUGGUUAAUAACCGCAGCAAUUGACGUUACCCGCAGAAGAAGCACCGGCUAACUCCGUGCCAGCAGCCGCGGUAAUACGGAGGGUGCAAGCGUUAAUCGGAAUUACUGGGCGUAAAGCGCACGCAGGCGGUCUGUCAAGUCGGAUGUGAAAUCCCCGGGCUCAACCUGGGAACUGCAUUCGAAACUGGCAGGCUUGAGUCUUGUAGAGGGGGGUAGAAUUCCAGGUGUAGCGGUGAAAUGCGUAGAGAUCUGGAGGAAUACCGGUGGCGAAGGCGGCCCCCUGGACAAAGACUGACGCUCAGGUGCGAAAGCGUGGGGAGCAAACAGGAUUAGAUACCC